CCUCUCUCAGGAUGGUAAUUGGAGAGUUUCCAGUAGUCUACCAGUCUCGGCUACGGGAGGGAAAGUCGAGCAGAGGCCUACCCAUUCCAUUCCUAGCUUGGGCAGUGGUUAGUGAGUGGAAGGCCGUCCGCUACAAGU